CCCGCUGGAGGGCGUGCCUCGGUUCACAGGAAGGGGAAACAAUGGCAGCGCCCUAGUACACUCGUAUUUGGAGUAAACACGUCAUCAAAGGUCUGUUCCAACAUACCACACAGAGGUAUUCAAUAAAUACCAGAAUAAUUCCUAUAAUCCUGCAAGUGAAGGGGCCACUUCAUUCAAACGUACUAAUAAAGCAAAUCCAGUGUGACACAGUCUUGUGAAAAAUUGAAGACAUGAGUGAUCCAGACACAUGCAGAAUUAAAUAUGAAGAUACUGCGGAACAAAGAGGUUACCACAGCGAGCAGGAUGCAGUUCAUGGCCUGACCUGAUGGUAGAGCGGAGAAUGGGAAGUGGGGACCUGACAAGAGCUGAGAUGAUAGAGCUGGAUAAAGAAGGACGCGGUCUCUUGACAUGUCUUCACCACAAAAUUUCAAAUGCUAUUAGAUUAUUAAUGAUAAUCUUAAACUAUAAUUUAUUUUAUUAUUAAGUUUAUUUAUUUUAUUUAGCCUUGUUGUGCAAGUUCUCUGGAGCUUGUGCAGAGGCAGCAGCUUUUGCCAGAGGGGAACUGGAAUCCCCUGGUUGGGCCUGGGUUCUCCUGAGGUUUUUUUUCUCGAUUAGAGUUUUGGGUUCCUCGCCACCGUUUGCAUACUGUUUUUGCACUAUCUGCCUGACCGGGGGGGCUGCUUUAGAAUCUUAAAGUUUUACUUAAUUAAUAUUGCAUAUAGGAAUUUAUUAUCUGUUAUAUUUGACCUGUGCUUCUCUCUCCUUUAUCCUAAAUAUCCUAAAUGUGUGCUCUCACUGAGCGUGUGUGUGCGUACUUGUCUGUGUACGUACGUGUGUGUGUGUGUGUUGUGUGUGUGUGCGUGCGCAUCCGUGUGUGUGUGUGUCUCUGUGUCUGUGUGUGUUGGUGCGUGUGCGUGUUCUGUGUGUGGAGUGUUUUGUGUGUGGGUGUGUCUGUCUUCUGUGUUUUCAACCUUUUCUUCUUUUUGCAGGUACAACUUUGAUUGUUUUGCUUGUAGUCAAUGUGUCUCAUGUGCAGCUGCUUUGUAACAAUGAAAAUUGUAAAAGCGCUAUAUAAAUAAAGUUGAGUUGAGAGUUGAGUGUAUCAGUGCUUCAUGAAGAAUAAUCACUACAAGCCUUCAGGUCUCGCGGGUUGUUGGAGAUAUGCGCGUCGCCCAGAGAGUCAGAGCACAAAAUACUAAACGGAGUUCGCUUUCGCGCCUUCUUAAUCUGAAAUGGACAUAUAAACACAAAAUAACAUCAAAAUUCCCAUAUUAACAAGAAACCUUGUAAAGGUAUUCAGUUUCGUGACCAAACAGUUGGGAAACAAAACACGUGUUCUAGUAUAUUGCACGAGCUCUUAAGGGGGCAGCAGCAUAAUAAAGAUCUCUGUUUAUAAUGUUCAUCAAACAACAAAGGACAGGUCCAAAAACACUAACUGAUAAUAAACAAUUGUGUUCUCUUGUAGGCAUUGUUCACAACAAAUAAAGGAAGAAAGUAGCUUUAAGAAAGAUGUGCUUUAAAUAUGGUAAAGUGUUGAAAGAGAGUUUACAUAUACAAUAAAAAUAAUUCAAUCAUAAACAAUGAUUUGUAUUAAUUUCUAAACGAUUUAUUAAUGUAUUAAAUACAUUUUAAUGACGUUUUAGUGAUUCUUUUUUUAUCUCACGGUGCUAUCAAAUUAAGGGGUGGUGCCACCAACUGAAUAACUUGGUAGCAAAAAAAGUUGGUAAGAAAAAAGUUAGGCGCACCAGUGCAACCAGUCCAAAAAGUUAGUCUAGAGCCCUGUAUACUGUGCUUGUGGUACGGACAGCUCAGCUCCCAAAGCGCUGCUGGCAGCACGAAUCGCUGUAAAUACUAGUGCUUUUAUGCGCAAGGCUCUGCAGAUGCGGGAAAAGGUUGAAACUUGCCAUCUAGCACGUGUUUACAUAGAAAAACGGUGGGAAAGUAGCACCGCUGGAUGGAAAAUCACGUUGUCUAUGAAUGGCCGGGCUGGUCACUGUAGCUCGGCACGGCACGCACAUACUUUGUGAAGUUAUUAGUGUGUUCUGUACAGUAAUGAAAACAGGUCACACCACAACAAAAUGUGCACUCACACAAAUGCUCCCAAAUAUAUUUUGAGGUCGCACAGGUUAGAUUUAGGGAGCAUAUGCGACCAAAAUGGUCGCAAUUUCGAACCCAGCACUCCAUCAUGCCAAUUACGUAGACCACACAUGGGAUCUCGCGAGAUCUUAUCGCACCCUUAGUACCUACUUUAUAGAAGUAUAGCAUGUAUCUAAGAUUUUAAUAUGAUUCUAUGGUCAUGGGAAUCAGGGCUGGACGAUGUGUUUAAAAAAGAUUAUCGACUUUAAAAUCAUAGCGAUAUCCGAUAUUAUCAGGUGUGUUUGACUUCAUGCAACAUUGCACAGACAAUCGGCGUACUGAUGUCAUACGCUGAUUUCAUAGCUUUUACGCAGUACAAAAAUGUUGCCGGUACCUCCCCGCAAGCGUGAGGUUUUGCUCUGCCGAUGCAGCUCGUCUUUCUCUGGUCUAUCUGUGCAGCGACCGGCACAAAACAGCAGCCCAUUCAAUUGACCGCAAAACAGCGUUUCCAAAAUUCUGUCACUGUUACUUACUGCCUGGGCAUAUGAACAUGAACGUUCAUGCUAAAGCCUACGUCACAUGAUAAUGUUAUAAUGCGUAUUUUCCAUUAUUAUCAAUUAUCGUCUGGUAUCUGUCUGUUGUAAUCAACAUCUUGAUAUUUGCGAGACAUCGGCGAUGUACGAUAACACCCAGCCCAGCCCUAAUGGGAAUGCAAAUACACCUAAUUGUAAUCUAUAAUA